rnacentral:lncRNA from 1 species
CAGCAAAGUGCUCCUUCCUUUUUCCAUUGCUGUGUUCCCUGCUCCCAGUGAGAACUUUCGGUGUUCUAGCGCUCUAGCCCUGGCGUCACCAGCCUCUACCUCACGCUCUGCCCAGUAGCCCACCUCGCCGCUUGCCUCUUCGUCCGUUGGUUGCUGUCCACAGAAAAGAAUCCCCAUCGCCAGGAGCCCUGCUUGUAUCUCCACUUAAAGCUAGUGUCCAUGUUAGGGUGAGGUAGGAAUGGUCUUUAGGCUAGAAAUACUUUCAUACGUUUAUUGUUCUACAGAACUUCUAGGAUUGUAAUUUGAUGCGUUUUUAGUCAAGAAAUUUGGGUGGCCAGCGCUAUCGUUCUGCGUUUGUGUAGAGUAUUGAAGUUUAGUAAGUAGCUUCCUGUUAGUUAUAGCUUGUAAUUGUAAUUUUGUAAUGCUUUGUAAUACCUUCUUUGUUAGUAGCAUAUACAUAGCCAUUCAUAAUCAUGGCAUUUCAUGUAGAGUACCAAGGAGAAGUGAUUUGUGAAGGAGGAGUCCGUUCCAG